ACGCCAUUUUGGAUCCUGCUCCCUACUGGGCAAACGCCUGUCGUCUGUGUCGUGUGUCGUGGGUUCGAAUUGUGCGCGAACACGAUAUCAAGGAUUCCGAAUACAAUGACGGACGAUCGUCUUGGACACGCAGUGGUCGAUUCGCAAAGAGAUAUAUACGAAAUACAAUUCUUGCUUGCGAAACGGGACGUUGCCUGCUUCGUCGCGGCACAUCGAGACGGGAUAUAAAAUUUUCAAAUGGGAGUGAGUUUUUAUUAAUUAGGCAGGGCAAAGUAUGUAAUCGCACGUUCCCCGCGUUGUUCUUCUAUUCUGAAACGCAACGUGAUCCUCGUGAUCGGGAGUAUUGUACGAAGUAUCGCGAGACCUUGCGCUCUCGCCGUUAUUCGUGUGCAAGUAAUGUGCGGCAAAUUUGGCGCGGAGGAGUCACGAAGGACAAUAAAGCGAAAUUCGAGAGCAGAAGGCCCGGUGGGGCAUCAAGCGGCACAACUAUGGGUCGACUGGCGGGAAAUGGCUCUUUCGUCGCCCACGGAUUGCCGAGAUUAUUCGUGCGGAUUCACAGGAUGAUCGACAAGAACAGGGGAAAAUUCUUGAAAGUAGGAGCGUCCCUGACGCUAAUCUCGUGCUAGAUGGCAACAUUUUCUUGUAGCCAAAUAUACGAAGCGGCUCGCAUUGCCUUAUUGUUACAACGUUGCGAGUAUCUCGUUAUAGGGAAGAGGUAGCUCGAUGAACGAGGGUUAAACGCCAGCCAACAACUUAAUUGAUAGGAGCGGAAGGAUUAAUUUUAAAUCGGAUCCGCGCGCGCGACUUCGGAGAUCGGCCCCCGCGCGCACGAGAGGCCGAUUGUACAUAUUGUACAUAACGCCUAUAUAACGCCAGAACAUCCAGCGGCCAUGAUGGCUCUGGUCUCUCUCGCUUAUCGGCGAAGGGAGAGGGGGAGAUGUGUCGGGUCGAUACUUCGGAGUUGAGCGAGGAAGUCCGUAAGCGUUGCACCCCACCGGACGGCACUCGGAGGGAACGGGAGGAGGGUAAGAGCGGGAGGGAGGGGGGAACUCGUUCACCACUCCUUGCUCGCCGAUUGGUCCUGGCAGGACGGCACGUCAUUGGGCGGUGCGACGCGCCCGUCGGAUGAAAAGGGACGAGAGUUUAUCCUAAGGAUAUACCUGUCCCGCGUAUCCCGCAUACACUAUUAGGGCGGAGGAAGGGACGACGGGGAAAGGGAACGACGAGAUUAAGGGCAAGCAGAGCCCAUAAGCGGACAAAUCGGACCCUUUCGCCGCAACUUCGGUAUCAUUCGGUUCGCGCAUACAUACCUACGUGCGACCGACCUGUUUCACCGCCGUUGUUAAGCCCGAUGGACUGAGAUAAAUCGCCGGGCAUCGUUCAAUGUCCGCGGCGUCGUUAGACAAAGGUAUAACAAUCAAGGCGUUAUUAUAGUCUACUUCGCGAUGAGUUGUUCCGUAAGCGCGUUGGCCAAAAGCUUUUAGCACGAAAUCGAAAAUAUCUUCAGCGAUUAAAGAUAAUAAAUAUCAGCGAUGCUGAUUAUUAAUUUGAAUUAGAUAAAUUGAAAUUACAUAAAUUUUCAAACGAUUUAAUCUUGUUUCGCUAUAUGAAUUUCAAUAAUAUAUACAAUUUACAAUUUUUAUGAUCUCAUGGAUGGAUGAUAAAUAUUAAGUCGCUCAAUCAAUCAUGGAUUAAUCACGCCUGACUAUUUUUGAAAACGCUAUCUCGCUCUAGAAAAGCUACACGGCUUUCGUAUUAUUUAGUGCGGAAAAGAGAAUACCAUAUUGUCUCGGUACAGUAAUUCAGUAGCAAGUUCGGGCGACAAAGAGAGGGUUUUCUGUUUUACCAUCCCUUGCGCUUCGCUUCUCGUCGAUGAUUGGCGGUAGCGAAGGAAGGAUCGCGGAGGACGACGAGAGGGAUGAAAGGAGGCUAACUUGGUGGGGGAAAUUGCACGGCAGCAGAAUCCGUGACUCGGAUAAGGAGCACGAAGAAUCUUCCUUCCGCACCCCCUCUCGUCGACUCCUGCAACCCCUUUUUCCGCGAGCGCCACGUGAGUCGUGAAACGCUAUCAUCAAGCAUUCAUAACGUGUAGCAGCGUGUUUAUCAAAGGGACUCCUUUCAGCCUUCUCUCUUUCUCUUCGAAAAUACCGAGAAUCUCUUCCUUCCUGAAAGAAACUAUGCGCCUAACAAACACGUUAAAGAUCAAGAGUGCAUAUAAAAAAAUCUAAUUUUUCUUUUGUAUCUCUAUCUUCUAAUGUCAUUAUUUAUUGGGGAAAAACUUUAAAUUUAAAUUAAGACUAAAUUUGUCAUUUUUAAAUCAUAUCUUUUCCUCUUUCCUUUUUUUGCUUCUCUCUUUUCUCUUUUUCUUGAUUAUUGUUGAUCUCAUCAACACGAAGAUGCAAACAUAAUUAUCUUAUUUUUAAUGUCAUAAAUAAAUCAAUAGUAGCAUGUUAUCAUUUUCAAUAAAAGCUACACAUUUCUGCAUUUCACAGAUUCGUGAUUUCAUACUUGCAAUCGGUCUGUUAUAAUGUUAAUAAGUUUAAAAUCAGUAUAUCGUUACAAAUUAAUUUUGUACCUAUACAUUUACACAGUAGUAAUAAUUUAUUUCAAUUAAGUUAUAUAAAUAUAUAUGUAGACUUAUAUGCUAUUUAUGCUACAAUUUAUAUUUUCAGAGUACAAUACAAAAAUAACCACAAACAAAAUAAAGAAGAUAAAAAAAACAAGAUAAAUGUAAAAAGAAAAAUGCGAGAGAAAUGCUCUCGCAAACGAGAAAGAAAUAGAGUGAAAGAGAGACGUGAUGGUCAGCGUUACCAAGUAAUAGAUCGCAAGAGGAGAGAAAUCUGUGAUGAAACGAUGACGUGUGACAACAGAGGUAAUGAAGAUACCACAAAUAGAUUCGUGCAUGCGAGCGCACGAUCUCUCGCCGCUCGUACCGGCACGGUGCGCAAAUCCCGGUGAUAUGGAGGGUGGCAGUGAGGGAGGUGAUCUAAACGAGAUUAAUCGCGAGAGUAGUCGCUUUAUCCUGGCGAAUAACUUUCCGAAACCAGACAACGAUUACGGCUGUUUGGUGUUCGCGCGGGGUCCGGCCACGGUAUACAUUCGUGAAAGAGAGCAACGCACCAGCCACGGCACGUCCUGACAUAUGGGUUUCCAGGGCUUUGCUUGUCUGGGUCUGGCCGCGGUCCCGGGGUCUUUGUGCGGGGGUGGUAAAUGGGAUGUCAUCGUGUUAAAUGGCCCCUGAUCCCCGGCGACAGCCCCGGGCGCGGCCCAUUGAAAAGCACCCGGCCCGGGCGCCAAUUCUUGCGGCUAAUUCACGCCGUUUAUACGUUUAAUUGCCCUUGCCGAGCCACCUGGACCACCGUGCUCGCGUGCGCGCGCGCAAGAGAGAGAGAGAGAGAGAGAAAACAUUAGGAACGGGAUUCGAUUCGAGUUUCCGUUUAACGGACGCGCUUAGCGUCUCGGGCAUGUGCCGUUCACGACGACGCUCGUCCCUCUUCCUUUCCCCCCCUCUCCUCCUUUUCUCUGUGUGUAUAAUAUAUAUAUAUAUAUAUAUCUUUCUCUCUUGUCGAGGUUAUUGAUUUACGAGAGCACCUCUUUCCGGUUAGAUACGUGCACGUCAACGCGCUCGGAUGUAUCUAAACCUAAAGAUUACCGGACAGAGACCAUCCCCGAUGAUACAUGAAUCAACGCUCUUAGCUGUCGGUCACGAAGUAACAAGAUACUGACGGCGUCGCGAUGCCGGCAACGUCGAAACGGAUGUCGCAGUCUGAACGGUAGAGGUGUUAGCAGGGUACUUUUGUAAGAGAUUGUCUUUUUUUGGAGAUGGUUACAUUUAAUUGAGAAGCUCAUCGAGGCUCGUUGCCAUUCUUUUGUCCUUCCAAUUUAUCUGCUUGGAGACAUUAAUUUAUUUGCGUAACCCUCGUCGUAUUAUUUCAAAGAUGAUAAAAUGAGAGAAACGCGCGCGCCUGUCUGAAAUUAAUUCCCGUUACUAGUAGGAGGAAAGCGCGGUGUGCGCUUCUCGUCAACGUGUCGUCGUUAUUAACGUCCUGCUCGUUUUCUCGCUUGACGGGUCGUAAAUCGCGGUAUCGACGGCUCGCACGAAAGUGAGAAAAAAAAGAGUCACGACGCAACCGAGCGUCGACGGGGUAAAGGAGAGAAAUUGAUGAAGUGCUCUCUCUCUCUCUCGUGUAGGGUAUUCAGGAAAUAGACGAACUCUGCACGAUAUUCGGAGCACGAGCUAUAGCUAGAAGAACCUUUGUGAAAUGUCUCCUUUUGAAGAAGAAAACGACCGAUUAUUAGAAAAUUUAGGGAUAGAUACAUCGAUAAAUCUGAAGGCUGUGAUUUUAUUAGGAUCAAAAGACGUUUUAUUCUGUGUUUAUCGUGGAAGGAUCUGCGUGCAUAUUUUUGGGGGUAUAUUUCCGAUUUAGAAAAUCAUUUUAUUUCAAUUUUUGAGUCUUGCAAUCUUUUUUUUCAAACAUGACCUACAACUUUGGUUCUUUAAAAAUAUUGUUAUACAUAAAAGUAAAUUUUACAUAUAAGUAAAAAUAUUAUUCUCUAUAAAAGAUCUGUAUACGAGGUAUUGUUGUACGAGGAAUAAUUCAAGUAGAACAUUCUGACAAGAUCGACUUUUAAACAAGCACAUAAUAUAAAAGAAAAAAAAGAAAAUGUGAAGGAUAAGGCAUAAUUAUCUAAUAUAAUAUAAUUAAAAUAUCUGUUUGUAUAAUGCAGUGAAAUUAACAAGUAAUUUUAGAUUUAAAGAGUAAUUAUUAAUUUAUUGACAAAAGUACAAAGAUAUGUAAGACAUAGCAACGUUGAUUAAUCAGGCAUCGAAAACAAUAAAACAUAACUGAUAACAUUGAAAUGAGGUACGGAAUAAGCAAGUAAUUAACGAGA